AAGGAGAAGGAAGGCGGGGACGUGGUGGACCUCAGCGAGGCCGAGCCCGCCCUGCCCCGCUCCAUGUGGGCCUUCCUGGAGAGCGGCGAGCUGUCGGCUGCCCGCAGGUGGGGAGCGGGGUCUCUGGGCGGGUGGCUGGGGCCCAGCGAUGGUGCUGGGGAACUUGCUGACCAUGAGGGGCUCCGUGGACACCUUGACGUCCUGCUCCAGGCAGCGGUCGCGGUACUUCAGCCCCACGCAGAUCACCUUCUUGGGGUCGUCGAUGGGCACCAACAGCCGCACUCACGCGGUGCCCUGGGUUUUUCUUCCCUUCCUUGUUUGUGCGUGAUGCUUUUGUAGGAGCUUCAUAGGUGUUCAGGAAGUGCAAACUCUUCUGAGAUAUGAGGUGUCCUCGAGAGAGCCCCAUUGCAUCCAUUCCACUUGGGCUGUUUUGUUCCCUCCUGAGGCUGAAAGGGACUUCAGAACCCUACAUAGAACUUGCUGCUGCUCCAGCAUGGAAAGCAGAGAUCGUGAAGUGUGACUGCCAUUGGGGCAGGGGAAGAGGAGCUAAGACAUUCAUCUGCCAGCAUGAAGUAGCAGGUCUUGAAAAUGGUAACGGCUGUAGUAGGCCAAUUAGCAGGACCGUCAGCAGUGAAAAUGAAUUACUUCUGUGGGACGGUCCUGAUUCAGCUGACAAUGCUGCAGGAAUCAUACAGCCUUCAUGCAGCACAUGAGGAGCUUGUUGUUGCAAAGCGGUACUUUGCAUCACUCUGACGUUCUGCCAUGGACUCUUCUUCCUAGUUUUUGAUGUAUAUGAAGGCAUUGCUAAGGAGGACAUAACAGGCAGCAUUAAAUCCGAGGUGUCAGGAGACCUGGAAGAUGCUUUGCUGGCUGUGGUAAAGUGUGUAUGAAACAAGCCUGCGUACUUUGCUGAAAGACUGUAUAAAUCCAUGAAGGGCCUGGGAACAGAUCAACAACACUCUGAUCAGAGUGGUGGUGUUCCGCUUCAAGAUAGAUAUACUGGAUAUCGGAAGAGAACUCCUGACUAUGUAUGGGAAGUCUCUCUACUCCUUCAUUAAGGGAGACUGCUCAGGAGACUACAGGAACGUUCUGCUGAAGCUCUGUGGCAGUGAGGAUUGAAGGAUUCCUGGUGUGUUUGUAACUGUUGGUGAAUAACGCUCUGAAGGAUCACAGACUGGCCUGCUUGUCUCUGCAGUGCUCGGGGCUUUCUGAGCUGCAGGCUCGCUGCAGCCCGUGGCAUAGCCUUGCAUCUGGUGACGGACUGAAGCUGGAGAAUCCUGGCAGCAGAGGACGCUCCUGCCCCACAGAAGGGCUCACAGCUCCACCGCAGCUCCACCGACCUCAGUGCUGGUGAGGAGGCUGAGAUGCCUCCAAGUGAUGAAUGCAGUCCACCCAACCUUACACCUCGUGUGGUUCACUGUGCGAGGCGACCAGGAAGAAAGGUGGGCACAGGUCUGGCCGACUGGCACAGUCAGUCUCCAAGCAGUCGCACGCUGCUGGUUUGGAGGUAGCUCUGUGUUGGUGUUAGAAUCAUGGAAUGGCCUGGGUUGAGAAGGACCUCAAAGAUCGUCCAGUUCCAACCCCUGCUAUGUGCAGGGUCACCAACCGACGGACCAGGCUGCCCAGAGCCUUGUCUUGAAGAAGAUUGUUUUUAGGAGAACAAAAACUUUGGAUCACCUUUCAAAUAC
rnacentral:lncRNA from 7 species